GACGAACGCUGGCGGCGUGCUUAACACAUGCAAGUAGGACGCAGUUGCGAACGGGUGAGUACCGCGUAGGUAACUACCUAUUAGAGGGGGAUAACUAUUGGAAACGAUAGCUAAUACCGCAUACUAGUAGAUGGCACUGCGUUGUAUUAGGUAGUAGGUGGGGGAACGGCCUACCUAGGCAACGAUACAUAGCCGAGCUGUGAGGGGGAUACGCCAAACGGGGACUUGGACACGGCCCAGACUCCGACGGGAGGGAGCAGUAGGGAAUCUUCGGCAAUGGGGGGAACCCUGACCGAGCAACGCCGCGUGAGUGAAGAAGGUUUUCGGAUCGUAAAGCUCUGUUGUUAAGGAAGCGGUACUUAACCAGAAAGGGACGGCUAACUACGUGCCAGCAGCCGCGGUAAUAC
rnacentral:rRNA from 1 species